GGCCUGAGAGGGUGAUCGGACACACUGGAACUGAGACACGGUCCAGACUCCUACGGGAGGCAGCAGUAGGGAAUAUUGCUCAAUGGGGGAAACCCUGAAGCAGCAACGCCGCGUGGAGGAUGAAGGUUUUAGGAUUGUAAACUCCUUUUGUAAGAGAAGAUUAUGACGGUAUCUUACGAAUAAGCACCGGCUAACUCCGUGCCUGCAGCCGCGGUAAUACGGAGGGUGCAAGCGUUACUCGGAAUCACUGGGCGUAAAGAGCGCGUAGGCGGGAGAGUAAGUCAGAUGUGAAAUCCUGUAGCUUAACUACAGAACUGCAUUUGAAACUACUUUUCUAGAGUAUGGGAGAGGUAGGUGGAAUUCUUGGUGUAGGGGUAAAAUCCGUAGAGAUCAAGAGGAAUACUCAUUGCGAAGGCGACCUGCUGGAACAUUACUGACGCUGAUGCGCGAAAGCGUGGGGAGCAAACAGGAUUAGAUACCCUGGUAGUCCACGCCCUAAACGAUGAAUGCUAGUUGUUGCCCUGCUUGUCAGGGCAGUAAUGCAGCUAACGCAUUAAGCAUUCCGCCUGGGGAGUACGGUCCCAAGAUUAAAACUCAAAGGAAUAGACGGGGACCCGCACAAGCGGUGGAGCAUGUGGUUUAAUUCGAGGAUACGCGAAGAACCUUACCUAGGCUUGACAUUGAUAGAAUCCGCUAGAGAUAGUGGAGUGCUGGCUUGCCAGAGCUUGAAAACAGGUGCUGCACGGCUGUCGUCAGCUCGUGUCGUGAGAUGUUGGGUUAAGUCCCGCAACGAGCGCAACCCUCGUCCUUAGUUGCUAGCAGUUCGGCUGAGCACUCUAAGGAGACUGCCUUCGUAAGGAGGAGGAAGGUGAGGACGACGUCAAGUCAUCAUGGCCCUUACGCCUAGGGCUACACACGUGCUACAAUGGGACAUACAAAAAGGUGCAAUACCGCGAGGUGGAGCAAAUCUCCAAAAUGUCUCUCAGUUCGGAUUGUAGUCUGCAACUCGACUACAUAAAGCUGGAAUCGCUAGUAAUCGCAAAUCAGCAAUGUUGCGGUGAAUACGUUCCCGGGUCUUGUACUCACCGCCCGUCACACCAUGGGAGUUGUAUUCGCCUUAAGUCGGGAUACUAAAUUGGUUACCGCCCACGGCGGAUG
rnacentral:rRNA from 1 species